UUAAGUUAAUAAGGGCGCACGGUGGAUGCCUUGGCACUAGAAGCCGAUGAAGGACGUGACUAACGACGAAAUGCUUUGGGGAGCUGUAAGUGAGCAAUGAUCCAGAGAUGUCCGAAUGGGGGAACCCGGCAGGUAAUGCCUGUCACUCAUUACUGUUAAGGUAAUGUAGAGGAAGACGCAGUGAACUGAAACAUCUAAGUAGCUGUAGGAAGAGAAAGCAAAAGCGAUUGCCUUAGUAGCGGCGAGCGAAACGGCAAGAGGGCAAACCGAAGAGUUUACUCUUCGGGGUUGUAGGACUGCAACGUGGACUUAAAGAUUAUAGAAGAACUACCUGGGAAGGUAGGCCAAAGAGAGUAAUAGCCUCGUAUUCGAAAUAGUCUUUAUACCUAGCAGUAUCCUGAGUACGGCGAGACACGAGAAAUCUCGUCGGAAUCUGGGAGGACCAUCUCCCAACCCUAAAUACUCUCUAGUGACCGAUAGUGAACCAGUACCGUGAGGGAAAGGUGAAAAGCACCCCGGGAGGGGAGUGAAAUAGAACCUGAAACCGUGUGCCUACAACAAGUUCGAGCCCGUUAAUGGGUGAGAGCGUGCCUUUUGUAGAAUGAACCGGCGAGUUACGAUAUGAUGCGAGGUUAAGUUGAAGAGACGGAGCCGUAGGGAAACCGAGUCUUAAUAGGGCGCAUUAGUAUCAUGUCGUAGACCCGAAACCAUGUGACCUACCCAUGAGCAGGUUGAAGGUGAGGUAAAACUCACUGGAGGACCGAACCAGGGCACGUUGAAAAGUGCUUGGAUGACUUGUGGGUAGCGGAGAAAUUCCAAACGAACUUGGAGAUAGCUGGUUCUCUCCGAAAUAGCUUUAGGGCUAGCGUCGAUGUUAAGUCUCUUGGAGGUAGAGCACUGUUUGGGUGAGGGGUCCAUCCCGGAUUACCAAUCUCAGAUAAACUCCGAAUGCCAAUGAGAUAUAAUCGGCAGUCAGACUGCGAGUGCUAAGAUCCGUAGUCGAAAGGGAAACAGCCCAGACCACCAGCUAAGGUCCCAAAAUAUAUGUUAAGUGGAAAAGGAUGUGGGGUUGCACAGACAACUAGGAUGUUAGCUUAGAAGCAGCUAUUCAUUCAAAGAGUGCGUAAUAGCUCACUAGUCGAGUGACCCUGCGCCGAAAAUGUACCGGGGCUAAAACAUAUUACCGAAGCUGUGGAUACCUUUAUAGGUAUGGUAGGAGAGCGUUCUAUGUGCGAAGAAGGUGUACCGUGAGGAGUGCUGGAGCGCAUAGAAGUGAGAAUGCCGGUAUGAGUAGCGAAAGACAGGUGAGAAUCCUGUCCACCGUAAGACUAAGGUUUCCAGGGGAAGGCUCGUCCGCCCUGGGUUAGUCGGGACCUAAGGAGAGACCGAAAGGUGUAUCCGAUGGACAACAGGUUGAUAUUCCUGUACUAGAGUAUAUAGUGAUGGAGGGACGCAGUAGGCUAACUAAACCAGACGAUUGGAAGUGUCUGGCCAAGCAGUGAGGUGUGAUAUGAGUCAAAUGCUUAUAUCUUUAACAUUGAGCUGUGAUGGGGAGCGAAGUUUAGUAGCGAAGUUAGUGAUGUCACACUGCCGAGAAAAGCUUCUAGCGUUAAUUAUACUCUACCCGUACCGCAAACCGACACAGGUAGUCGAGGCGAGUAGCCUCAGGUGAGCGAGAGAACUCUCGUUAAGGAACUCGGCAAAAUGGCCCCGUAACUUCGGGAGAAGGGGCGCUGACUGAUGGUCAGCCGCAGUGAAUAGGCCCAAGCAACUGUUUAUCAAAAACACAGCUCUCUGCUAAAUCGUAAGAUGAUGUAUAGGGGGUGACGCCUGCCCGGUGCUGGAAGGUUAAGAGGAGUGCUUAGCGUAAGCGAAGGCAUGAAUUGAAGCCCCAGUAAACGGCGGCCGUAACUAUAACGGUCCUAAGGUAGCGAAAUUCCUUGUCGGGUAAGUUCCGACCCGCACGAAAGGCGUAAUGAUUUGGGCACUGUCUCAACGAGAGACUCGGUGAAAUUUUAGUACCUGUGAAGAUGCAGGUUACCCGCGACAGGACGGAAAGACCCCAUGGAGCUUUACUGCAGUUUGAUAUUGAGUAUCUGUACCACAUGUACAGGAUAGGUAGGAGCCUAUGACCUCGGGACGCCAGUUUCGAGUGAGGCGUUGUUGGGAUACUACCCUUGUGUUAUGGCUACUCUAACCCAGAUAGGUUAUCCCUAUCGGAGACAGUGUCUGACGGGCAGUUUGACUGGGGCGGUCGCCUCCUAAAAGGUAACGGAGGCGCCCAAAGGUUCCCUCAGAAUGGUUGGAAAUCAUUCGCAGAGUGUAAAGGUAUAAGGGAGCUUGACUGCGAGAGCUACAACUCGAGCAGGGACGAAAGUCGGGCUUAGUGAUCCGGUGGUUCCGUAUGGAAGGGCCAUCGCUCAACGGAUAAAAGCUACCCUGGGGAUAACAGGCUUAUCUCCCCCAAGAGUUCACAUCGACGGGGAGGUUUGGCACCUCGAUGUCGGCUCGUCGCAUCCUGGGGCUGUAGUCGGUCCCAAGGGUUGGGCUGUUCGCCCAUUAAAGCGGCACGCGAGCUGGGUUCAGAACGUCGUGAGACAGUUCGGUCCCUAUCCGUCGCGGGCGUAGGAAAUUUGAGAGGAUCUGCUCCUAGUACGAGAGGACCAGAGUGGACUUACCGCUGGUGUACCAGUUGUUCUGCCAAGAGCAUCGCUGGGUAGCUAUGUAGGGAAGGGAUAAACGCUGAAAGCAUCUAAGUGUGAAGCCCACCUCAAGAUGAGAUUUCCCAUGAUUUUAUAUCAGUAAGAGCCCUGAGAGAUGAUCAGGUUGAUAGGUUAGAAGUGGAAGUGUGGUGACACAUGUAGCGGACUAAUACUAAUAGCUCGAGGACU
rnacentral:rRNA from 1 species